rfam:Populus trichocarpa scaffold_1_contig_220, whole genome shotgun sequence.
UCUAGAACUCGAGAUAUGGGCUGAAUAUUAAACAGUGUUUGGGCUGCAGGACAGAUUUUGACUUCUCCGUUGUUGCUACAAUUUGAACUCAAAAAUGGUCUUUUUGAAUCUUAUACUCUUCAUGAACGUUUUAGGCCUAUGUCUUAGCUUUCCAUC